rnacentral:tRNA from 1 species
UCCCGGUUAGCUCAAUUGGUCAGAGCGUCGGACUUUUAGCCAUAGGUUCUCCGCGAGCCUUGCUGAGGACAUCCGAAGGCUGCGAGUUCGACCCUCGCAUCGGGAG